rnacentral:rRNA from 1 species
UACGUAGGGUUCAAGCGUUAUCCGGAAUUACUGGGCGUAAAGAGUUGCGUAGGUGGCACGGUAAGCAGAUAGUGAAAUUACUCCGCUCAACGGAGUGCACAUUGUCUGAACUGCCGAGCUUGAGCAUGAGAGAGGUAGCUGGAAUUCCUAGUGUAGGAGUGAAAUCCGUAGAUAUUAGGAGGAACACCGAUGGCGUAGGCAGGCUACUGGCUCAUUGCUGACACUGAGGCACGAAAGCGUGGGGAGCGAACGGG